UAGAAACGUAGGCUAAAAAGUGUAAACUUUUGAACUUUUGAACUUUUGAGCUAUGGUGAAGAGCUGCUGCUGGAUCAAGCCUUUCAUUUCCUGUAGUCUAGAUCGCCGUUGCAAAUGGAUUGCUGCAAUCAAGAGGAAGAACUGGGAGCCCAAUCAACACAGUUUUUUUAUGCUCUGAUCACUUCACUACAGGUCAGGAUCCUCUCUCCAAGGAUCCUCUCUCUCCAGACGAGUUUUCCAGUAUACUGACAGUCCAACCAGGAAAAAAACAGUGAAAGCUUUCAAGAAGUAUCAAAACAGAAAAACUUUAUUAAGAAGGAAAAUUGUAAGAAGGUACAGGAAAAAGGAUAGAAGAAAAGAGAGAAGAGAAAGUUGCAGAAGAAAAGAGAGUUGCAGAAAAAGAAAGAGUUGCUGAAGAAGAAAGACUUGCACAAGAAGAGAGAGCUGCUGAAGAAGAGAUAGCGACGAGAGAGCUGCAGAAGAAGUUGAGAGUUGUUGAAGAAGAGAGGGCUGCUGUGAGCGUGAGUACACAAACUGAUUUUACGAGCCUGCAAUUUACUGCAAUAAUUUACUGACGAUGGUCUUUCCUUCUUACCAUAGCCCGUUUAUGAUUUGGCUUCAGGUUUCUUUACGGGCAAUUCAUCUCUAACUAAUGAAAUUAAACGUAAUUUAUAAGAUGGGGUGGCCGAGAGUGUCUCACAGAAAAGUGUGGUCUUUUGAAUUACCUUGAGCCUGGUGAUUUAGUGUUGGGGUUUACCGUGCAAGAUGCAGUGGGAUAAGAUGCCAGCCUUUACAAAAGGCAAAAAACAACUCUCACAACAGGAAGUCGAUACUGGUAGACAACUGGCACGCGUUCGAAUUCAUGUUGAAAGAGUAAUCGGAGCGGUACGACAGAAGUACUCUAUUCUCUCGUCAACACUGAACACUGAACAUAAAAAAAACAGGCAGUAGACAACAAUUGUGGUAGUUCCUUUUUUUUUUAGUUAAGUUAUGUAAUCGUCUAUACAUGCACGCUCACUAUGAAAUAAUCUUUCAUAAAAUAAUUAAAAAAGUCUGUUCACUCUUUCUCACUGUUUCUCACUGUUCACGGGUUUCCCGAACUCGUUUUAACUUAAGACAUUCUACAUGAAACCAUUCAAUUGAAAUAAAAAGACCAUCUUUUUCAUUUUUACAAUAACAAUAUUGUAGAGGAAACAACCACGAGCGUCGCUUGCUGUAGAUUGCAUUGUAUACAUCUAGUUAAAGAAUUCUUAUUCUUUUGCUUUGUGCAGCGCUUCCUCCAAAAAGCGCUUCCUCUAAAAACGUUAAAUCUUGUUCAAUUCGAAUUACCACCAAUUAAUUCACUUUCUCUCCAGAUAAUAAAAUCAGCAGAUCGCAGAGUUGGUAGUAAUAAGCAUGGUUUUUUUUCAACUGGAACUGACCAUCUUCGUUCGUUCCUAAACAAAAAGAACAGAUCGUUGCACCUCCACUUAUGGAUUGAUUUGGGUAGAUCGAAUAUUAAGAACAAAAAAUGCAUGUGUUGCACCCCCCAGGUGGCGGCUGAUUUCUGUCUAGCAACACUGCACUGUACUGUGCCAACCCGUAUGUGCCAACCCGUAUGAAGUUUAUUUAAUACUAUACUAGUUAAUCAUAGAAAGCCAGCUAUUGGCCAGUUGAAUCGGAUCCUGUGCUCUGUCAGUAUCAGUAUCAGAGUUCUCUGCCGGUAAUAUAUAAUGUUUACCAUGCAGACAACGGAUUAUAAUGCCACAAUCAAACAUAUCCACAAAUCAAACAUAGUAUGUUUUAACAUAUUAUGCUAAAUAGAUAAUAAUAGUAUACCGUAAUAGUUAUGGCAUUAUUCCGAAAGUUUGGCAUUAUUCAGUUAAUCACGGAUAACUUUCCAGCUGGUGGAUGACAGCUUGGACAUAUCCAAACUUGGCUCUCGAAAGGCAGCUCCUUCAAUAUGGGAGGUGAUUCCCGCCAAAAUAGCUGCUUUUCACUGAGAGGUCCAUUUUUUAUUGAGAGGUGCAUUUUAUUUUUCGUGAGGUGUAUUUUUUGAGUGGUCUAUUUUUUAUUAAGAUGUGCAUUUUGCACGAGAGGUGUAAUCUAUUCUAUUUUUUAAUGAGAUAUGCAUUUUUUGAGUUGUGUAUAAUAUUUAUUUGAGAGGUGUAUUUUUUUGACGAAGGGUGUUUUCAUGGCAUUGCAUGUUGUUCAAUGCCAAUGGUUUAAAUGCCAAUGGUUUAAAGGUCAACUAUAUCGCAGUUUUGCGCAUGCGCAAUCCUAGGCCACAUGGUCAGUUCUCUCCAGCUCUAGCUAGCUCUAGUAUUCAUAUCGUGUCGACAAGAGUCAAUAUACUAUCACUAUACUAUAUCGAGUCCAACUCUGAGAAUCUGAGGCAGCAAGGAUGCAGGUGGAAUUCCUGGCACAGCCAACUCACGCCCUCAAAGAAGUGUACUUAACGCUAACCAUGCAAGUGCUAGUGGAGCUGGAACAUCUCGUGAAAUGGCUAGACUCUUGUCCUAAGAGUACUGCUACAGGAGUUUCGAAAAAAAAAGAAGUUGAAGAUGUACAAGCACACGUUUGUUUGCCUUGCCAGUACAACUCAGAGGUAAAUGGCUAUGACGUAAGACGUACUGUAUAAGCUGUAAAGGGCGUAUGAAGAGAAGAGGGCAUGUACAAUCUAUCCUAUUACAAAUGGGCGGGGCUUAUGUGUAAAGAAUUUGUACCUAGUGGGCGAUUGGCUAAAUCAUGGGCUAAAUAUAGCAUAUCCUGCUGACUCAUCAAUAUACUGACUCAUCAAUAUACGUUGUGAGCCCUCUUCUCUUCAUACGCCCUUGGUACUAUGCUGUUAUAAAAUAAUGUAGGUGUCUGCCAGACCAACCAAUGCCCAACCAAUGCAAUCUACGCUGCAAUUAGCUGGCCUUGGUGAAAAGCACUUAGAACUGUAUGGGGAUGCUGAUGAUCUACACUUUGCAUUGCUGGAGAAUUUCCCAAGACUUGUAGAUGGGGGUGGGUAUGAACUUUUGAGGCUAAAUGGCAAGGGUGGGAAAGAGCUGAUACUGCCAUCUGAAGGGUACACUCCUCAUGUCCUGAGUAUCUCAAGUUAGUGAUCUCCAGUGCCAAAAUAUUCGUACGACCACUACAAAGGAAUUUGAAGAUUGAGCCAAUUGACAGAGGAAGUAGUCAAAGUGUUCUUCAAGAGUGUCAAACAUGUGGCAUUAAGUUACCAAUGAAUGAAAUCAAAGAACAAAUUUAAUGUGUAUGAAAAUGUGUUAAUAUUUUUUAUUAUAGCUCACCUGCAGACAGACCUACUGAUGCUGAGGACCACAAGAAUUUAGUGUCUAAGCUUUAUGAGGUGCCCGGAAGCCAAUAAUUGAACUUCAAUUAUCAUGACGUUCGAGCGUCAUUUACUCAAGUUGCAAUACCUUCGUAGCGUUCCCUCGAACAUAUCUCCGGAAAGAAAGUAGCUCAGAGGUCGAUCUUGGUAUCAUUUUGAAGCUUAAAGGACGCCCUAUCCGAUUAAAAACUGAUUCGAAAAUGCCCGCGUUAAGGUCCCUUUUCAUUGGCACUGUCACAUAUGAUAUGUACAUCAGGAUUUCAAGAAAAGAUAGGAUCUAACUAAGCUGGAACAAAUGGUUUUUUUAUAAUUGUGUUAAUUGGUCACAUGAUAGUCACAUUGUCUUUUUUUUCAAUUAACCCUUUAACCGUCACGGGCCACAAUCGUGGCCCGCAAUAGUGACUUUUUUUGCAUUCUGCGAUACCUAGGAAGUAGCUCGAACUACGCACAUCCCUGUAUAGAGGAAGAGCUGUAGAAUCACGUGCAAUUUAGUCUAGAAUUUUUCAAGCCACGUUGCUAUGUUAAAAUUUCAUUAGCAUCUUACCGCACGAACUUGUGCCGAUGUGCUUGAACAGCUUGAGGACAGCAAUGGUGAUGUCUGCCUAUGAAGGAGAGGGGAUAGUAGGAUACCUCAGGCUACCAGCUUUAUGCCAGACGCUGAUGAACUGUCUGGGACUGAGGACAUGCAUGACAUAGACCUAGACGCUAGCUCUAUGGAUGAAAGACCAGAAGAGGGCUCACUGUGUGACUCUGGCAAGUAGUAUAGUAUAGCUAGAAUAUCAGUAGUGUAAGUAUAAAUAGAAUUAGGGUGUGAGCUUGUAAAUUUCAUAGAUCGUGUACGUAUUGUACUUAUAUCUUAGCAAUGUUACAUUCAUAUGAUGUGAAAAUCAAGCUUAGUCAAGCGGCUGAUCCAUAAAAAAAAAUUUUUGGAUUAUAUCUCACCGCUGGCCGAGCAUUUAAAAUGAUAAAAAUGUGAGCGUAAUAACCGUGGUUGUUAUGGCACCAUUUUAUUCCUUGUUGUUGGGCAUUCUAUUGGUAUAUGGUUCGAUAGAGAAUUUACAGACAUAUUAUUCCACUAAGAGACGGUUAAAGGGUUAAAGAAACUUGACAAUAAAUUAUUAUGACAAAACAAAAUGUGAAUUACUAUGUUUAAUAUUGAAUACUUUUUGAUAUAUGUGAAGGGCCUAGGGCCUAGGAAAACGCGGGUUUAUUGUUGAAUCGGAUAAAGCGUUCUCUAAGCUUCAAAAUGAUACCAAGAUCGACCUCCUAGCUAUUUUCUAUCCGGAGAUAUGUUCGAGGGAACGCUACAAAGUGACGCUCAAACGUCAUGAAUAAUUGAAGUUCAAUUAUUGAUUUCCGGGCACCUCAUAAAGCUUAGUGAAAGAUUUUCUGGAGAAGACGAGUUAGUUAGAUGAAGGCUAGGCAUUCUAGGACUCUCUAGCUAGCUAGUAUAGCUAUGUAGCUGGAUGUAGCUGGAUUGCUUGGCAGAAGAAAAAGAAGAAAAAGACUCCAAUGGUAAGCUUUCAUGUCUUGUUAUCAGCUUGUACUUACUUUCUGUGUCAUGUAUCAGUCUUAUAAUAGAUCGCUCACUUGUAUGGAGCCUACAAAAAGUGUCUCUGUUCUUCAUAAAGCUAAGCCUGUCUGAUCUAUUAUAGGUGGCCUUAUAUGCUAGAUCCAACUUAUUAUUAGCCUCACAAGAAGCUUUCCUCCUUUAAUUUAAUAUUGGUAUUAGUAUUGGUAUCACUGCCAUUGUGCUUAGUAUUAGCAGGCCUGAUGGGAUGAGUGAUAACAUCUUGGAGAGCCCAGGAUACCCAGUGAAAUUGUCCUAUAUGGAUGGUUCCUCCAGGUCGUUGCGACGGAGGCCUGAGAAAUUAGCUAGAAUACAAUAAAUUUCUGCAACUGUUGCCUCCACCUCCUCCAGCCAAUGGCUCAACCACCACCUCCGCUAAUGGCCUGAGCUCUGCUAGGGCUUUGGCUCUUGCGCUUGCUCCUCCACCUGCACCUCCAGCUGCCUUGCCUCGUCAAAGACCACAAGCGUUUCAAACGUGCCAUUUAGUGCAAAUUUGGAAUGCAACAAAAAUUGAAAAAAAGGUGUGGUCAAGAUUGGAGAAGCUUCCUGUGUAAUGGUAGUGACUUUACUUCAUUUUUGUGCUCUUAUGCUUAGUCAUAAUUAUGUCAUUUAUUUUUGUGUAGACACAAUAAACAUGCAUUUGUCAUGCGCAUGCUUCAAUCAAAACUGUUGGAACUGGGCAGCCUGUGUUGUCAGACAUCUUUAUUGUGGUUUGUAUAGUGUACCUACUCUGAGCUCCAUCCUGGGCAGACAAAAAUUUUCCAGGACUCUCAGAGUGAAUCACUCAAUGUAAAAAGCAUAGAGCUACUUCAAUAACAAAGACAGGUAGAUGGCUAACUUUUUUACAAUUCACAUUCAAAAUUGUGGCAUUAUCAACACAAAAUCACACAAUAAAAUGUAAGUACAACAAGUAGGUUGUACAUAGGAUUGAAUUGUGUGUGUAAGCGAAUUGUGUGUGUAAGCAUAGGAAUGUACACACAUAGGAAUGAGUGAGCAACUUAUUUAUAAGCUAUAUAGGAGGCUGUUUGAUCAGUUCGUCACCAACAAUAUCGUAUUAUCGUAUCAACAGCUAUAAAGACCAUAGCCAAUAAGAAUCGAUGAUAAUUAAUUUUAGUGACAGUGCUUCAGCAACCUAUUGAGUUGACAGUUUGUCGUGCAGCAUACUGCUGUGAGUAGUUGAGGCAGUCCAAGUUGUUGUCGUGUCCAUGCUGCUCUGCUAUCGGGACCACCUAGCCGACAACUGCCGACAACUGCAACACGUACGUACGUCCCCCUGACAGCCUCUCGGAAACAUCAAGGUCACUUGCAAGUUGUGCACAGGAACAGGGUUCAUGAAAGAUCCUCGAUCCUCAUGCCCUUAGUGAGUGUACUGCUGUAACGACAUCCUAUACACAAGUCACAGUCUCCGCUAACACCUCUAGAGAGGAAGCUACAAAACUGUGAUUCUCCUCUGAAAGUUUUUGUCUGUUUUCUCACAGCUUAUUAGCUGUGUGUCUCUAACCCUACAAGUGAAAACAGGAGGACAUGUAAGUACGUACUUAUACAUAAAGAAAACUAUCCUGACAGCCAAUCGUUCAGCACACCGAGUCCACAAUUCGCCGUAGAAACAAACAGCUUCUCGAUGCUGAGUGGUGGUAACCAUGUCACGUCGCUAGUGAAAUUAGGCACACUGGCAAAGAGAAGAAACCCAUACGAUCUCCUCAACAAAUCUAUCUAAUGACUAAUCUAAUCUAUCUAAGAAAGUGUACAAAAUAGUUACAUCUUACAUCGUUUGGUACCCUCUGCAUGUUUGAUUUCUGCUCCCUCUGCUCCCUCGCAAAGAUUUGACAACAUUAACAGCUAUAAUAGAAAAUUAUUAUUCCUGAAUAACAGAAUCAAUUUCUCACCUAAACAGCAGCGUUACAAUCAGCGAUUGACUUCCAACUUUAUGACGGACCUUUUUUCUAUGUACAUGGCAAUUAAUCACUAGUUCAUUCUUACCUUUUGUGCUGAUGACUACUUCUGCUCGCAAAGAACAGCACAGUGUGAGGGACUUAACUUGACAAAAACCUCAUAAUUAUUAUCUAUAGAAUAUUGCUCUUUACAAUCACCUAAACAGUAGUGUAAGUGUAAGUGGAAUAAUUAUCCUUUCUUCUCUCAUUGACAUUUUUAACCAACUAUCUAAUUCUCUGUCCAUUGCUUGUGCGGCCGGCCAGUGCUUGUGUGGCCAGUGACUGUGAAUAAGAUGUAUUAAUAAGAUGUAUUUUCAUAAAUAU